GAUGAACGCUGGCGGCGUGCCUAAUACAUGCAAGUCGAGCGAACGGACGAGAAGCUUGCUUCUCUGAUGUUAGCGGCGGACGGGUGAGUAACACGUGGAUAACCUACCUAUAAGACUGGGAUAACUUCGGGAAACCGGAGCUAAUACCGGAUAAUAUUAUGAACCGCAUGGUUCAAAAGUGAAAGACGGUCUUGCUGUCACUUAUAGAUGGAUCCGCGCUGCAUUAGCUAGUUGGUAAGGUAACGGCUUACCAAGGCAACGAUGCAUAGCCGACCUGAGAGGGUGAUCGGCCACACUGGAACUGAGACACGGUCCAGACUCCUACGGGAGGCAGCAGUAGGGAAUAUUGCGCAAUGGGCGCAAGCCUGACGGAGCAACGCCGCGUGAGUGAUGAAGGUCUUCGGAUCGUAAAACUCUGUUGUUAGGGAAGAAAAUCUGUGUAAGUAAAUGUGGCCAUUUUGACGGUACCUAAUCAGAAAGCAACGGCUAACUACGUG
rnacentral:rRNA from 1 species